rfam:Felis catus isolate Cinnamon breed Abyssinian chromosome X, whole genome shotgun sequence.
GCCUGGGUGGCUCAGUCGGUUAAGCGUCCGACUUCGGCUCAGGUCAUGAUCUCGCGGUCCGUGGGUUCGAGCCCCGCGUCGGGCU